rnacentral:rRNA from 1 species
UACGUAGGUGGCAAGCGUUAUCCGGAUUUAUUGGGCGUAAAGGGAACGCAGGCGGUCUUUUAAGUCUGAUGUGAAAGCCUUCGGCUUAACCGGAGUAGUGCAUUGGAAACUGGGAGACUUGAGUGCAGAAGAGGAGAGUGGAACUCCAUGUGUAGCGGUGAAAUGCGUAGAUAUCACGCAGAACUCCGAUUGCGAAGGCAGCUUACUAAGCCAUAACUGACACUGAAGCACGAAAGCGUGGGGAUCAAACAGG